rnacentral:misc_RNA from 1 species
GAUGAAGAACGCAGCGAAAUGCGAUAAGUAAUGUGAAUUGCAGAAUUCAGUGAAUCAUCGAGUCUUUGAACGCACAUUGCGCCCCCUGGUAUUCCGGGGGGCAUGCCUGUCCGAGCGUCAUUGCUGCCCUCAAGCACGGCUUGUGUGUUGGGCCCCGUCCCCUCCCCCGGGGACGGGCCCGAAAGGCAGCGGCGGCACCGCGUCCGAUCCUCGAGCGUAUGGGGCUUUGUCACCCGCUCUGUAGGCCCGGCCGGCGCCAGCCGACACCCGACUUUUAUUUCUAAGGUUGACCUCGGAUCAGGUAGGGAUACCCGCUGAACUUAAGCAUAUCAAUAAGCGGAGGA